GGCUCGCGCCCGUAGUCUGGAGAAUCAAUCGCCAGGGUUGCGUUGCGGUGUGCCCCGGUUCGAGUCUUAGCGCGUCGGAUCGGCCGGUUUCCGCGACAAGCGAGGGUUUGGCAGCCCCGUCAUUUCUAAGACCCCGCCAGCCGACUUCUCCAGUUUACGGGAGCGAGCCCUCUUUU
rnacentral:ncRNA from 1 species